UACGUAGGGGGCGAGCGUUGUCCGGAUUUAUUGGGCGUAAAGAGCUCGUAGGCGGUUUGGUAAGUUGGAUGUGAAAUCGUCCAGGCUCAACUUGGAGGGGUCAUUCGAUACUGCCAUGACUAGAGUUCGGUAGGGGAGUGUGGAAUUCCUGGUGGAGCGGUGAAAUGCGCAGAUAUCAGGAGGAACACCCGUAGCGAAGGCGGCAGCUCUGGGCCGGAACUGACGCUGAGGAGCGAAAGCGUGGGGAGCGAACAGG
rnacentral:rRNA from 1 species